CGGUGCCCGAGUUGUAAUUUGGAGAGGGCAACUUUGGGGCCGUUCCUUGUCUAUGUUCCUUGGAACAGGACGUCAUAGAGGGUGAGAAUCCCGUGUGGCGAGGAGUGCGGUUCUUUGUAAAGUGCCUUCGAAGAGUCGAGUUGUUUGGGAAUGCAGCUCUAAGUGGGUGGUAAAUUCCAUCUAAAGCUAAAUAUUGGCGAGAGACCGAUAGCGAACAAGUACAGUGAUGGAAAGAUGAAAAGAACUUUGAAAAGAGAGUGAAAAAGUACGUGAAAUUGUUGAAAGGGAAGGGCAUUUGAUCAGACAUGGUG
rnacentral:rRNA from 1 species